rnacentral:rRNA from 1 species
GCCCAGACUCCUACGGGAGGCAGCAGUAGGGAAUCUUUCACAAUGGGCGAAAGCCUGAUGGAGCAACGCCGCGUGCAGGAUGAAGGCCUUCGGGUUGUAAACUGCUUUUAUAAGCGAGAAAUAUGAUGGUAACUUAUGAAUAAGGAUCGGCUAACUCCGUGCCAGCAGCCGCGGUAAUACGGAGGAUCCGAGCGUUAUCCGGAUUUACUGGGUGUAAAGGGGGCGCAGACGGCGAUGCAAGCCAGGAGUGAAAGCCCGGGGCCCAACCCCGGGACUGCUCUUGGAACUGCGUGGCUGGAGUGCAGGAGAGGUAAGUGGAAUUCCUAGUGUAGCGGUGAAAUGCGUAGAUAUUAGGAGGAACACCAGUGGCGAAGGCGGCUUACUGGACUGUAACUGACGUUGAGGCUCGAAAGCGUGGGGAGCAAACAGGAUUAGAUACCCCUGUA